GUCGUUGCUUUAUCUGGAGUAACCGAAUUGUUGAAGGCCGUACGGUGACCUAUAAUUGUUAAUGUCUGUGUUAGUUUGGUCUUUUGUGGAUAGUUGUCUCAUUGGCAAUCAUACCACAUCUUCUUUUUUAUAUUGUAUCUGGAACUUCUUUAAAAGCCGUAUUGUUUAUAUUGAAUCUUUCUCAAAAUUGUAAACAUAUAAUGUCAUGG
rnacentral:lncRNA from 1 species